CGCCCUUGCCAGUUACAGCAGGAUAUACACAGAGAUUAAAACUACAAUUGCGGGCGAACGGCUGCGCGGAUCAGACCAAGAUGCUGUUAACCCUGAAACCCUCUUGUCCCCUGAGUCAGUUUGGUGUGUUGAAUGGAUUAUGUCGCUGAAUUACAAUUGUAAAGGGAUGUAGAAGCUGCUGGAGCACCCAGUCUUUCUGCCACAUAGGAAAAUGCCAAUAUUAUAAAUAACAAAUGAAAAAUAGACAACGAGAAAGUAGAAUGCAUAUAAUGCCGACAGAAGACUGCAAUCAAGAAAUAAUAUUUAACCGAACAAAGUAUGCAAUAGCGAUAAUGGAUAUUUCAUUGGCACCUACAAAAUAGUUUGUAGGCAGGACAAGCACUCCUCUCUGCUCACUCAGUCCUGUCAGACUGCAGCAUGGAAACAGAGCGGAGGGUGUUACAGAGUAGCCUGUAGUGAUUGGCUGAAGAGACCCAGCACAGCAGACUCAGGGAGGA